UUAGAGAGGGGCUACAGGGAAGGA
rnacentral:piRNA from 1 species